AGAGUUUGAUCCUGGCUCAGGAUGAACGCUGGCGGCGUGCUUAACACAUGCAAGUCGAACGAUGAAGCUCCAGCUUGCUGGAGUGGAUUAGUGGCGAACGGGUGAGUAACACGUGAGCAACCUGCCCGGACUUUGGGAUAACAGUUGGAAACAGCUGCUAAUACCGAAUAUGCACCAGAACGGCAUCGUUACUGGUGGGAAAGAUUUUUCGGUCCGGGAGGGGCUCGCGGCCUAUCAGCUUGUUGGUGAGGGUAAUGGCUCACCAAGGCGUCGACGGGUAGCCGGCCUGAGAGGGUGACCGGCCACACUGGGACUGAGACACGGCCCAGACUCCUACGGGAGGCAGCAGUGGGGAAUAUUGCACAAUGGGCGCAAGCCUGAUGCAGCAACGCCGCGUGAGGGAUGACAGCCUUCGGGUUGUAAACCUCUUUUAGUUGGGAAGAAGCCUUCGGGUGACGGUACCUUCAGAAAAAGUGCCGGCUAACUACGUG
rnacentral:rRNA from 1 species